GAUGAACGCUGGCGGCGUGCCUAAUACAUGCAAGUCGAGCGAACAGACGAGGAGCUUGCUCCUCUGACGUUAGCGGCGGACGGGUGAGUAACACGUGGAUAACCUACCUAUAAGACUGGGAUAACUUCGGGAAACCGGAGCUAAUACCGGAUAAUAUAUUGAACCGCAUGGUUCAAUAGUGAAAGACGGUUUUGCUGUCACUUAUAGAUGGAUCCGCGCCGCAUUAGCUAGUUGGUAAGGUAACGGCUUACCAAGGCAACGAUGCGUAGCCGACCUGAGAGGGUGAUCGGCCACACUGGAACUGAGACACGGUCCAGACUCCUACGGGAGGCAGCAGUAGGGAAUCUUCCGCAAUGGGCGAAAGCCUGACGGAGCAACGCCGCGUGAGUGAUGAAGGGCUUCGGAUCGUAAAACGCUGUUAUUAGGGAAGAACAAAUGUGUAGUAACUAUGCACGUCUUGACGGUACCUAAUCAGAAAGCCACGGCUAACUACGUG
rnacentral:rRNA from 1 species